ACAAACUUGGUCAUUUAGAGGAAGUAAAAGUCGUAACAAGGUCUCCGUUGGUGAACCAGCGGAGGGAUCAUUACAGAGUUUCCGAACUCCCAAACCUUUGUGAACAUACCAGUUGCUUCGGCGGUCGCGCCGGGUGUCCAUGGCAUCCGGGCUCCCUGCGCCGCCGAGGGUAUCAAACUCUUGUCUUUACAGCGGACUUCUGAGUACGAAAAGAAAUAAAUCAAAACUUUCAGCAACGGAUCUCUUGGCUCUGGCAUCAAUGAAGAACGCAGC
rnacentral:misc_RNA from 1 species